rnacentral:lncRNA from 1 species
AUGGGCCCAGCAGAUGGUGGGCUCUCCGCAGUGCUUUCCUGCCAUUUUAAAGUCUCUUUUAAGACGAGUGUUCACCGGGUUGCACACUUUAAAUGGUUAAUUGUAUGUUAUGCGAAUUUCACUCCAGUAAGAUUUUUCUCCACUGUCUGCCCUUUAGCCCACUCACACUCCCUCACACACACUUGCACACUCACACACUCACACAGCACACUCACACAUUUGCACACUCUCACACACUCGUUCAUGCUUGCACACUCACUAACUCACACUUGCACACUCACGCUCACACACGUUUGCACACUCGCACUUGCACGUUCACAUACAUUUGCACACUCGUACACUCGCUCACACUUGCUUGAUCACACACUCACUCACAUUUGCACACUCGCUCACACUUGCACACUCACACACUGCACUCGCACACACACUCGCUCACACUUGCACAAUCACACACUUCCACUCACACACAUUUGCACGCUAGGACACACUCGCUCACGCUUGCACACUCACAUACUUCACUCUUGCACACACUUAUACACAUCCACACACACUUACACACUCACACACUCAUACUCACUCUCGCUCACACAAGGACUAGCAGGUCCACUGCAUCCCAAGAGGGACAUAGAGACACAGGGGGGACGCCAAGAUGAUCCCCCAAACUCUCUCCCUGGAACCCCACUGACCUUUUCAAGGGGCUGUCAGAGAAGGGAACUCACUGGAUUAAGGCGGAGAACAGGACCCAGGUGGAGGAGGCCAGGCUGGGGACUCCCGGAUAAGUGGGGAAGAGGAGAGACACCAGCCCCUAGGACCACGCCCAGACCUGUGGGGCCGCGCGUCAGGGAGCCCUGCACAGUCCUGGGAGAGCAGGGGCAGCCAGGGUGGGAGGGGGGCUCUCGAGUGAGAGGAGAGGGUCCACGCUCGCCUGUUACCACAUUGAAAACUCACACCUCUGCAAAGGUGUACUAUGUCCUCAGCCUGCAGCUGGGUAAACUGAGGCCCAGAGAAACAAACUGA